AUUAGCCAUGCAUGUCUCAGUACAUGCCGAAUUAAGGUGAAACCGCGAAUGGCUCAUUAAAUCAGUUAUGGUUCAUUAGAUCGUGGACACAUUUACUUGGAUAACUGUGGUAAUUCUAGAGCUAAUACAUGCAAACAGAAUUCCUCUCAGAGAUGGGAGGAAUGCUUUUAUUAGAUCAAAACCAAUCGGUGGCGGACGGCUCGUCCGUUCGUCCAUCGUUUGUUUUGGUGACUCUGAAUAACUUUGUGCUGAUCGCAUGGUCAUCUAGCACCGGCGACGCAUCUUUCAAAUGUCUGCCUUAUCAACUGUCGAUGGUAGGUUCUGCGCCUACCAUGGUUGUAACGGGUAACGGGGAAUCAGGGUUCGAUUCCGGAGAGGGAGCCUGAGAAACAGCUACCACAUCCAAGGAAGGCAGCAGGCGCGCAAAUUACCCACUCCCGGCACGGGGAGGUAGUGACGAAAAAUAACGAUACGGGACUCAUCCGAGGCCCCGUAAUCGGAAUGAGUACACUUUAAAUCCUUUAACGAGGACCAAUUGGAGGGCAAGUCUGGUGCCAGCAGCCGCGGUAAUUCCAGCUCCAAUAGCGUAUAUUAAAGUUGUUGCGGUUAAAAAGCUCGUAGUUGAAUCUGUGUGUCACAGUGUCGGUUCACCGCUCGCGGUGUUUAACUGGCAUUAUGUGGUACGUCCUAUCGGUGGGCUUAGCUCCUUGCGGGCGGUCCAACUAAUAUCCCAUCGCGGUGCUCUUCACUGAGUGUCGAGGUGGGCCGAUACGUUUACUUUGAAAAAAUUAGAGUGCUUAAAGCAGGCUACCUUUGCCUGAAUACUGUGUGCAUGGAAUAAUGGAAUAGGACCUCGGUUCUAUUUUGUUGGUUUUCGGAACCCCGAGGUAAUGAUUAAUAGGGACAGAUGGGGGCAUUCGUAUUGCGACGUUAGAGGUGAAAUUCUUGGAUCGUCGCAAGACGGACAGAAGCGAAAGCAUUUGCCCAAAAAUGUUUUCAUUAAUCAAGAACGAAAGUUAGAGGUU
rnacentral:rRNA from 1 species